rnacentral:rRNA from 1 species
UGCCAGCAGCCGCGGUAAUACGGAGGGUGCAAGCGUUGCUCGGAAUCACUGGGCGUAAAGGGUGCGUAGGCGGCUAUUUAAGUCGGAUGUGAAAGCCCCGGGCUCAACCUGGGAACUGCACUCGAUACUGGAUAGCUAGAGUAUGGGAGAGGGUUGUGGAAUUCCACGUGUAGCGGUGAAAUGCGUAGAUAUGUGGAGGAACAUCAGUGGCGAAGGCGACACCCUGGACCAAUACUGACACUGAGGUGCGAAAGCGUGGGGAGCAAACAGGAUUAGAUA